GGAGACUCUCAAAGGGUACUUUUCCCUUUAACUUUCUCUCUUUGUUUCUAAUUUUGUUUUUUAGUAGUUUUAAUUGUUCAGGGUUUGACUCAAACCGUUUGAGAGCUUGGUGUUUACUUGCAACCACAUUCUUGGAUUCUCUAACACAAGGUUGUAAGGCUGAAUAUCGUGUGAAUCAGAUAAGGAAUAACUAUUUUAACUUAUCUUGAAUCAAUAUACAAUUAUAUUAAUCGAAAUAAGCUAGAGAAAGGUUUAUUUGUCUGUGGUAUAAGCAGUGGCAUAAGUUGCUGGAAGAACUUGCACGAUAGAGUAAAACAAGAAUAUCAACUAGCCACGAACUCCUACUUCUUAAAGCACCGCAAUCCGUAGCUGUGAAAAAAUGUGAGAGAUCAAGUUCUAGAGAAAAACCAAAAGCUAAGCAAGAUUCAGAUUUGUGGAAGUAAAGCUUUUGCAUGAUAAUUCAAUAAAAUCAUAUUCAGAUCUAUCGCAAUGGAGCAUUAAAAUGGUCGUGCGUCAUAUUUGCCCAUUCGAGUCCAAAGUCAAGAUCUAUUUAGAGCAAUCAAAAUACACAUUUUGAAAAGAAGUCUUCUUUCAUCCUUGCACGGUGAAGAACAAAGACUCUGCUUCCCUUUCCAGAUACCAAGAACUCUCAUCAAAACUAGAGUACAAUUUUCCAUUGAAGUAGCAAGAGUAGAUCUAUGGAGGUGCUUUCCAGGAUUUUGAAGUAACGUGAAGCUGAAUAUUGAAAAUAUGCAAAGACAAAAAGGCUCGAGCGGGAAUCAGGGAGGUUCACUUCCAUUGACUUACAUCGACAGCAGAAGGCAGUAGUCAAGGUGCUCUCCUGAUUAGGUGGUGCUAGAGAAAACGAAGGAAAGCCUAGGUGCAUGGUGCAACAUAUGGUAAUUUGUUGGAUUGUUGCCCCCAAGACAUGAAAGUACUGAAACCAUUGGAAGGGCUUUGACUCUCGGUGUUAACAUCAAGAUGAUCACUGGCCAGAUAACCAGUUGUAAACUUGGAAUGGGAAUAAACAUGUAUCCAUCUUCGGCUUUUCUUGGUACGCACAAGUGGUAGGAACCAACAAACCCCAUGGAUGAAUAUGUCUCUCAAGUCUCAAUGGUUGUAAGUUUUGUCACGUAAGAGACAUGGAGAACAUACCUGGCAGAGAAUCAAGUGAAUUCCUCCAAAGAACUGAUCAGAUUAGAAAGAGCUAGUGUCUUGCGGCUGAAUAGGUAAACAUUCUUAGAAUAAAACUACUAGCAAAUUGGAAAUAUGUUAUACCCAUCUUUCUCAGAUUUUUUCAGAAUGGGAGAUAUGUAAAGGAAGGAACAAAUACUUUUGACAAACUAUUUAGGCCAUCGUCAAAGAUUUUGCAACAUACACAUCCAUUAAUUAGUAUUCAGUAGACAGUGGAAAGAAGUGUCUAAAGGAAACUUGAACCCAGAUGUCUGCAUAGAGGUAAAUCCACAUAAGAUCUCACACCCUCGGCCAAGUUCACAUCACACAUUAGAAUUAUAGAACCUUGACGUGUCUUUAUUCGGUGGAGCAUGGAAUUCUUCUCAUUGUAGAUCGCUGCUUGACAUUGUUUGACAAUCCACUGGUCGACUCUCUUCACACAACUUACAAUGAGCUCAAGCUUAAAAAUGGGUGUGUUCGGCAUUCUAAAUCAAUGUCACAAAGGAGACAAGCGGUAAGAACCACCAAACCCCAUUGACGAAGAUGGUCUCCUGGAAGAUUUGGCACGUAAGAGACGUAGAGAACAUACUUGUUGGAGCAUCAAAUGAUUUCCUCCAAAGAAAUUGAUUAGAUUGGGAAGACUAGUGUCUCGCGGCUGAAUAGGUAAGCAUGCUUGGAGCAUAACGGCUAGCGGCAAUGUCCAACUGCCAUUAGGAACAACCUGAAAAUCUACAUCGACCUCUUUGAUAGCGUGAUAUAGUCAUGUGUGCAUGCAUACAUUCAUAUGUGCAUACAUUCAUACAUCCAUACAUUCAUGCAUACAUUCAUACAUUCAUACAUUCAUACAUUCAUACAUCCAUACAUGCAUGCAUACAUUCAUACAUGCAUACAUUCAUACAUUCAUACAUCCAUACAUGCAU
rnacentral:sRNA from 1 species